UACGAAGGGGGCGAGCGUUGUUCGGAAUUACUGGGCGUAAAGGGCGCGUAGGCGGCGACCCAAGUCAGAUGUGAAAGUCCUGGGCUUAACCUGGGGACUGCAUUUGAUACUGGGUUGCUUGAAUUCGGGAGAGGAUAGCGGAAUUCCCAGUGUAGAGGUGAAAUUCGUAGAUAUUGGGAAGAACACCGAUGGCGAAGGCAGCCAUCUGGACCGACACUGACGCUGAGGAGCGAAAGCCAGGGGAGCAAACGGG
rnacentral:rRNA from 1 species